GUUGAGGGAAACAGGUACAUGGCUGGGGAUGGAGAACAACUUGUUCAGAGUGUCUCUGUUGGGGGCACAAACUCUCUCUGAGCCAGUUUUGGGAACAAAGCAGUGGUAAGCGGGUGUAUAGUGUGACAAAGGUAGACAUUGCCACAUGCUUGAGAAGUAAAUAAGUAAAUACUCGGAGGGCAGUAGAGAGUCUGAAAGGAAGGAUUCGAUACUGGUAAGUGGUCCUGACAUACAACAAAGCAUAGGAAUCUCUUGUGACAGGGGUAUAUUGUGACAUCAAAGCAUGUGCCUUGAAGGUGAAGUAGUCCUCUGGAUCCAGGGAUGGAAUGAUAGCUACGAUGUUACCAUCUUGAACCUCUGCACCCUGACAAAGGCCUAUCUACGCCUAGUGGUCAACCUGGAAUCCUUCAGAGAAUGCAGGGACUCAUCUGUGGACUUAUUGAAUAAUUUAAGCCCACCAAAGGGGAGGUUCUCUGUGGUGUUUUGGAUUUCAGCAGAGUGUUGCAACCAUGAGAUUUAAUGCAUGACCACAGCUGUGGAGAUGGAGUGUCAACUGCAUUGAGAGAAGCUUGUAAAUCUGUCCUCGCUAGAAGCUGUCCCUCUGCAAUGAGGGCAUAAAACUGCUCCCUAUGCUUUUGAGGGAGAUGUUAAAUAAAUUAACAUUUGAACAGUUAA